rnacentral:lncRNA from 1 species
GCUGAGAAACUUUGUGGCUCUCAUUUUAAUAUGGAACCGAACUGUCUACAGCAGCACUGAAGAUGAUGCUGGUUGGUUUCGCAUUCCAAUUGAUAAGGUGGGCGAAAGCCUCUUUCUAAGCAGUCACUCUGGCACGACUCAUGAGUACAACCCGCUAAAUCUCUGCAUGAGCGUCGUUGAAGUACAAUGCAAUACAUCACAUAAUAAAAAAAUAGUAAUACAAUCCAUAAAACAAAAAUAUUUGUUGAUAGAUUAAUUAAUUUCAAUAUUUGGAAACAUCAUGUAAAAUAUAAAUAAUGUUGCUUACUUGCUUGGCAAGACGGCAACGUUGAGAACAUGAAGACAACGACCAAUAAAGCAACAGCUAUGUUGUACAUGAUCAUCCUUGUGUUUCUCUUGAUGAGUUCCAUGAGGAAAAAUGUGACUUAUGUUCGAUCUUUGUUUUUCAUUUCCAAGCUCCUUUACAGGUGUUUAUAUAGACGCACAAUAAAAUCUUAGAUAUCAGUUGGUUAAUUUCAUGCAUUUAUGUACCUCCCCUAAUUAGUAUCAGCAUAUUUUGCUAGUUUUACAUAAAUACCAAAGAUUUUAUUUCACAAAAAAUAUAUGUUUCAUCAUUAUGGCAUUUAAUGUUGAAGAUAGCAUAUUGAGCCAAAAUAAAAUCUUUAGGUAUCGGCACUGCAUUUAUGUCUCCAUUAUAAAAUAGUACCCAUACCGAUCUUGUUGGCUAUUUUGUAUCAUCCACACUUAUGUAAGUAUAUCUUACAUUUAUUUUACAUUAUUGUUUGUGUGGUAUAUAGUUUUAGUAUAUACAGAGGCUUGCACAAUCAAAUCUUAUGCAUUGAUGAAUCUUGCAUAUACUUGAUCUCAAAAAUAAAUAUUGCUGGAGUACUCCAUACUCAUGAAUAUUAGUUAUCAAUAUUGCACUUUUUCUGCUAAAUUAAUGUUGAUGUAUCUUAUUGAAUCUUAAUAAAUAUCAUGCAAUCAUUUGUAUAUGUUAUGAUUAUUGAUAUUUUUUGCGGCAUUUAUUGACCUCUAUUAUAUGGUGGCAUGCAAAAUUAUUGAUAUUGCUUCUUUUCGCUUCAUUUGUAUUAUACAUUGCUAUAAAUUUUGCAUUUAUAUUCAAUCAACAAUAAAUAAAUGCUUGGACAAACGUAAGCUUGUACUUACUGACGAAUAUGCAGCCCGUUAGUAGCAACACCAUUGUAGUAAACAUUUCAGAGUUUUUCCCGUUAUGCUUAUAACCGGCUAUAAUAAUUGAUCUUUAAUGUUUCAUGCUUCAGGGUAUUUAUACAAAUGUCUCCCAUUUUAUUGAACAAAUGGAAGGGCACAACAACCAAGAUCUUUCUUGUGGGUCUUGCAUAAUUGGAAACUGAUUACAUGGUUUCAUGCUUAUGCACAUCUUAUUAUUCCUUAGUUAACGUAGGAUUUGCAGUACUUUAUGCUUGAGUUGAUGUAUGUCAUCUGAAUCAGAAUGGAGCCUGAACCAAAUUGUAUGACUCAUUUUCACUAGGUGCACAUACUGCUGCUCUUCUAUAUGGAAUGUGAUACUGGGGUAUUAAUACUUAGUGUUGCUAUCUCAGAUAUUGCUAAAAAAAAGUCUCCGGUUUUGUAACUUGGUACGCUCGAGUGGUGCAAUACUUUUCAACUAUUUGCACCUUUCAUUUAAAAACAUUGUAACCCAUUGACGCUGAAAAGUGGCACGAUCAUAAAGAGUAGCUUGAACUAUGUCAAGAUUAAUUCAGACUUAUUAUUGAAGUCACUAUGGGAUGGAUCUCUUCCAGAAGAUCAAAAUGGAUAUGAAGAUGGUCUAAAACAGAGCCCCGAUGCAGAAGUUGUGACAAGUUCAAAGAUUGGAUAUAGUAUCGACCCUACUAUCUCGGUAGGCGAACCGGGACUAAAGGCAUUAGGCUUUAGUACCGACCCUAUAGUCCCGGUUCCCGAACCGGGACAAAUGGGCGUUAUGAACCGGGACAAACGGGCCUUUUUCUACUAGUGCAUACUGGACCUACCCAAUAAAUAUUUCAGAAAUUCAUAAUAAUCCUAGAGGCUAGCUUGGACAAUUCACGCAUGUCAAGAGGUGGGACUAAAAUUUAGUCCCACAUUGCUAGUUGAGAGAGAGUUACACCUCCACAUAAGGUGAGCUCUUUCCCCACUUGUAUGAGCAUGAUAAAAAGAGAGAUUCUCACACGCUCCUCCCCUGCCGCCCGCCUUGCCUCAUCACGACACACUGCGUCGCGCCACGGGCUAUGGGAAUGCCUAGAGCAUGCAUGAAGCUGAGGUGUUUUGUUGAUGUAGUUAGUGGAGAUUGGUUACAAGGUUUGUUCGGCUUUGGCUGCUAUGUCUCCGUUUCCUGUCUCUUUGUUUCAUUUCCUGUCACAGCCUAUUUGCCUCCUCUUUCUGUGCUUAUAAAAUAGAGGUAUCUCCUCUCCAUAGACACACAUAAACAGAGCACCACUUGCCUCCUACUACCAUGUUCCAGAGCACUACGCUACCAGGUUCUUCUCCAUCCCGGCUUAUGGCGUGCAUCACCGAUAGGGACAGUAGGCCUCCGGAACCACGCGACAUUGAGUCAUGCACGGGUGAAGGGAAAUAAGGUGUUUGGGGAGCGCUCUGUGCGACUACUGGCUUCUCCACCCCAGAUGUCGCUACAGAUGUUGAAGACACUUUCCCCAAUGAUGACUUCUUUUAGGACAUCGGCAACCUCUUCGGUAACAAGGGAAAUAACAUCACGAAUGGCGCCGCCCCUGCUCCUGUCUAGGACAUGUUCACUUCUCCUCUAUUUAAUAUGUUUUUAUCCUAAUUUUAGUUCAAUUUCAUGUUCUAGCAAUUGGACUACAUAUGCCAUGUUCAAAUUCACUACUACAUAUGUUAUUUUCUCACUCUCUGAUAGACUACAUGUCUAGUUUAAUCUUUACUAUUAUGGUCAUGUUUUAUCUACUAUUUUUAUGGAUUAAAUCACAUGGUAAACUGCUCAUAUUUCCAACACGCCCCAUGUACAUGUAUGGGUGUAACAAACACAUCCUAUGAGGCCAGUCUCCCUUCAUCAAAAUGUUCCAUGGCAAUCCAAUGAGAUUGAUGCCUCUAAUACCUAUGUUUAUCAGAAAAUAUAAGUUUAUUCAAUUAUUGGCAUCAGUAUACAGCAUUGCAUUGCAUAAGCUAAGAAACUUUGUGGCUCUCAUUUUAAUAUGGAACCGAACUGUCUACAGCAGCACUGAAGAUGAUGCUGGUUGGUUUCGCAUUCCAAUUGAUAAGGUGGGCGAAAGCCUCUUUCUAAGCAGUCACUCUGGCAAGACUCAUGAGUGCAACCCACUAAAUCUCUGCAUGAGCGUCGUUGAACUACAAUGCAAUACAUCACAUAAUAAAAAAAUUAGUAAUACAGUCUAUAAAACAAAAAUAUUUGCUCAUAGAUUAAUUAAUUUCAACAUUUGGAAACAACAUGUAAAAUAUAAAUAAUGUUGCUUACUUGCUUGGCAGGACGGCAACGUUGAGAACAUGAACACAAUGACCAAUAAGGCAACAGCUAUGUUGUACAUGACAAUCCUUGUGUUUCUCUUGAUGAGGUGCCAUGAGGAAAAAUGUGACUUAUGUUCGAUCUUUGUUUUUCAUUUCCAUGCUCCUUUACAGGUGUUUAUAUAGACG